UCAAGCGUCAAAAGGGCGUCUGGUGGAUGCCUUGGUGGUAAGAGGCGAUGAAGGACGUGGCACGCUGCGUUAAGUUCCGGGGAGUUGCGAGCAGACUUUGAUCCGGAAAUUUCCGAAUGGGGGAACCCACCUUUACAGACCCUGGCGGUUGUUCGUCUGAGUGAUCAGGCGGCCAAUCACCAGUGUUUGUGAAAGGUAUCUUAUUCUGAAUACAUAGGAAUAAGAAGCGAACUCGGGGAACUGAAACAUCUAAGUACCCGAAGGAAAGGACAUCAAUUGAGACUUCCCUAGUAGCGGCGAGCGAACGGGAACCAGGCCAGUGUCUCUUCUUGAGUCAGCGGAACGAUCUGGAAAGUUCGGCCAUAGCGGGUGAUAGCCCCGUACGUUAAAGCGAUUGAAGAGACCUUGAGUAGGGCGGGACACGUGAAAUCCUGUCUGAACAUGGGGGGACCACCCUCCAAGCCUAAGUACUCCUUACCAACCGAUAGUGAACCAGUACCGUGAGGGAAAGGUGAAAAGCACCCCGACGAGGGGAGUGAAACAGAUCCUGAAACCGGACGCCUACAAGCAGUCGGAGCCGCCUUGCGCGGUGACGGCGUACCUUUUGUAUAAUGGGUCAGCGACUUUGUCUCUCGAGCAAGCUUAAGCCGGUAGGUGUAGGCGCAGCGAAAGCGAGUCUGAAUAGGGCGACGAGUUCGAGGGAUAAGACCCGAAACCGAGUGAUCUAGCCAUGUGCAGGUUGAAGGUGCGGUAACACGCACUGGAGGACCGAACCCACGUCUGUUGAAAAAGACGGGGAUGACGUGUGGCUAGGGGUGAAAGGCCAAUCAAACUCGGAGAUAGCUGGUUCUCCGCGAAAUCUAUUUAGGUAGAGCGUCUCGUAUUACCUUCGGGGGUAGAGCACUGGAUGGGCUAGGGGGUCCCAACGACUUACCAAACCUAACCAAACUCCGAAUACCGAAGAGUAGAGCGAGGCAGACACACUGCGGGUGCUAAGGUCCGUAGUGGAGAGGGAAACAGCCCUGACCGCCAGCUAAGGUCCCUAAGUUAUCACUAAGUGGGAAACGAUGUGGGAAUGCUUAGACAACCAGGAGGUUGGCUUAGAAGCAGCCAUCCUUUAAAGAAAGCGUAACAGCUCACUGGUCAAGCGUUCCUGCGCGGAAAAUGUAACGGGGCUUAAGUGAUACACCGAAGCUGCGGACUCGAAAGAGUGGUAGCGGAGCGUUCUGUAAGUCUGUGAAGGUGGCCUGCGAGGGCUGCUGGAGAUAUCAGAAGUGAGAAUGCUGACAUGAGUAGCGAUAAAGAGGGUGAGAGGCCCUCUCGCCGAAAGUCCAAGGGUUCCUGCGCAAUGCUAAUCAGCGCAGGGUAAGCCGGCCCCUAAGGCGAGGCCGAAAGGCGUAGUCGAUGGGAACCAGGUUAAUAUUCCUGGGCCAGCGGGUAGUGACGGAUUACGGACGUUGUACACUCUUACUGGAUUGAGUGUGCAGCCAAGUCGUCCCUGGAAAUAGCUCCCGCAUGAGACCGUACCCCAAACCGACACAGGUGGACUGGUAGAGCAUACCAAGGCGCUUGAGAGAACUCUGUUGAAGGAACUCGGCAAAUUACUCCCGUAAGUUCGCGAGAAGGGAGCCUGGCAUUAGGCAACUGGUGUCCAGGGGCACAGACCAGGGGGUGGCGACUGUUUAUUAAAAACACAGGGCUCUGCGAAGUCGCAAGACGACGUAUAGGGUCUGACGCCUGCCCGGUGCCGGAAGGUUAAAAGGAGGGGUGAGAGCUCCGAAUUGAAGCCCCGGUAAACGGCGGCCGUAACUAUAACGGUCCUAAGGUAGCGAAAUUCCUUGUCGGGUAAGUUCCGACCUGCACGAAUGGCGUAAC
rnacentral:rRNA from 1 species